AAUGUUUACGAACCAUUUCAAAUAUUACGAUAAUUCGUUAAAUUAUGGUUUCAGAUGACUUUUAAUAUUCAUUUGGGUUGUGCAGUUUCUUAUGAGUGAAUAGCGUUGAAAAGCAGUGCGUUGUUAUAUUGCAGCGUGUAGGCAACUGAAUAAUAGGAGAUGAAAAUAAUUCUCAUUGAAGUAAUAGAAUCUAUCAUUGAAGUUCAAGUCGUAUUUGAUGCACUGUAAAUAAAAUAUUUUUUGGAGUCUAGC